rnacentral:rRNA from 1 species
AUUGAACGCUGGCGGCAUGCCUUACACGUGCAAGUCGAACGGUAACGGGCCUUCGGGUGCCGACGAGUGGCGAACGGGUGAGUAAUGCAUCGGAACGUACCUUUCAGUGGGGGAUAACGCAGCGAAAGUUACGCUAAUACCGCAUAUUCUGUGAGCAGGAAAGCAGGGGAUCGCAAGACCUUGCGCUGAUUGAGCGGCCGAUGUCAGAUUAGCUAGUUGGUGAGGUAAAGGCUCACCAAGGCGACGAUCUGUAGCGGGUCUGAGAGGAUGAUCCGCCACACUGGAACUGAGACACGGUCCAGACUCCUACGGGAGGCAGCAGUGGGGAAUUUUGGACAAUGGGGGCAACCCUGAUCCAGCCAUGCCGCGUGAGUGAAGAAGGCCUUCGGGUUGUAAAGCUCUUUCGGCCGGGAAGAAAUCGUAUGGGCUAAUACCCUGUGCGGAUGACGGUACCGGCAUAAGAAGCACCGGCUAACUACGUGCCAGUAGCCGCCGUAAUAC